UUGUAGGCGCCUUCGGGCCCGUAAACACAAUAACCCUUGUCUUUUUUGUGCACCCUUUGUUUCCUCGGCAGCUUUGGCUGCCAACGAGGACCCCCAAAAAACCUUUUGCAACCUUAGUACAACAAUCUGAAAACAAACAAUAUUA
rnacentral:misc_RNA from 1 species